AUUGAACGCUGGCGGCAUGCCUUACACAUGCAAGUCGAACGGUAACGGGCCUUCGGGUGCCGACGAGUGGCGAACGGGUGAGUAAUACAUCGGAACGUGCCCGAACGUGGGGGAUAACGAGGCGAAAGCUUUGCUAAUACCGCAUACGAUCUACGGAUGAAAGCAGGGGACAGCAAGGCCUUGUGCGGACGGAGCGGCCGAUGGCGGAUUAGGUAGUUGGUGGGAUAAAAGCUUACCAAGCCGACGAUCUGUAGCUGGUCGGAGAGGAUGGUCAGCCACACUGGGACUGAGACACGGCCCAGACUCCUACGGGAGGCAGCAGUGGGGAAUUUUAGACAAUGGGCGCAAGCCUGGUCCAGCCAUGCCGCGUGGAGGAUGAAGGCCUUCGGGUUGUAAACUUCUUUUGUACGGAACGAAAAGCCUUCUUUUAAUACAGGAGGGUCAUGACGGUACCGUAAGAAUAAGCACCGGCUAACUACGUG
rnacentral:rRNA from 1 species